GAGGUUCAGAAAUUUGCUGUCGCCCCUUCUUUAAGACAUGCACGUAGUUGUACUGCGGUCACGGAAAAGCGCGCGCGUUGUUCUUCACUCCCGCGUACAGGAAGCAUCGGCAAGCCUAAAGAAAUCGUGACACUUGCUGGACAAAUAAAAACGAAAAUUUAAAUAAAAAAUAAAUUACGACUGGAUUCUGAUAGCGUUCAUGUCAGACCAGACUUUGCGGGCAGCAGCCAAAUAAAAAAGCGUCACAAAUGUUCCAUUCUUGAAGCACUUUGCGCAUGCGUGUGGGAGCGACAUUGGUAUAAAAGGCAAAGCCGCAUGGUCGACAAGUAACAGCGGUUUAACUCUGUGUUGGCAACGAUUCGUGCGGCUUCUUCCCGCGGUGGGCACUUCGCGUCUUCCUGCAGAUGUACUACGUGGACGACCGAUUCACUGAUCGAGCAUUUGCGUAUCGGCAUGGCUUGGUGUCUGCGUACCAGGAGCCAGGCCUCAUGGUUCUACCAACAGCGCUCUAAGUGAAGUCAUCAAGAACUUUAUUGACAAGUCCUGAGGAGUUUAAGGCGCCGGGGCAACCACGAGGGACACCCUAGCAGCCGCUACCGUAGGCGACGCCCGAGUCGGGGCGGGAACGUGGUGGCGUUCCGCCAGUUCUUGGGCCCUCCGGACUGCCUUGAGUUGGGGGUGGAGCUCGGAGCUACUGAGUGCCUCUUCCCAGUCGUACCAACUGGUGACUGGUCCCCGAGGAUCCGGAGAGUAGCAGAAUUCGCGACGUGUCCUGCGAUGCCCAGGGGUUCAGCUGUUUCGACAAUGCUUCGCAGCGGCUCGGUGACCCAUACCAGCGUACUUGGUGUCUUCUCCAUCUGGUACUUUGGGGUUCUGUCGAUCAAGUGUUCUGCACGACCGAGCGUGCUUGUCAGCGAGUUGCGUUCUCACCGCAAUCGAGAUGUUCAACCAUUGCAGUAACGGUGGACCAAGAGCAGCAGAGUUCAAGAACUAUCAAAUGCUGGGUGAAGAGGAGAAGGCUGGAGGUCGGCGAAAGUGAAGUUGAUUCCGUGAGCGGCUCCUGCGGUGUGCGUCCGCUUCGAAGGAGAACUCGCUCAAAUCGGGGAAGAAGCGUCGAUUAAAGGCAGCCGCGACGUGAGCGAGUGCUUACGCGAAAGAAUGCGUGACCACCCUGUACGCAUUGGAUAUGCCCCUAGACACUGCGCAAUAUUUAUGCGCUGGACGUCGUAUAUGUACAUAUUUGUCGUGAUUAUUUUGGAUUAUUUUCUACUGCGCUAUUCUAUAUGGCUGGUCUUGUUAUUGUUUGUUUAAUAGCACGACCAUGUUCAUGGAUGGCUUAGCCGGCUGGAACAUUGGCUGACGUGCCAUAUUUUCCGUGUAUAAUAAUACAGAAAAGUUAUUAAAAGGUGCGUGCGGUUGUUGGUGCGUCACUGUCGUUCUUCCAGGCUCAGCCAGAACAGGUUGGCGU